rnacentral:rRNA from 1 species
AACGCGAAGAACCUUACCAAGGUUUGACAUGGCCGGAAAAGCAUCAGAGAUGGUGUGUCCUUCGGGGCCGGUCACAGGUGGUGCAUGGCUGUCGUCAGCUCGUGUCGUGAGAUGUUGGGUUAAGUCCCGCAACGAGCGCAACCCUCGUCCUAUGUUGCCAGCGGGUCAUGCCGGGGACUCAUGGGAGACUGCCGGGGUCAACUCGGAGGAAGGUGGGGAUGACGUCAAGUCAUCAUGCCCCUUAUGUCUUGGGCUGCAAACAUGCUACAAUGGCCGGUACAGAGGGCUGCGAGACCGUGAGGUUAAGCGAAUCCCGGAAAGCCGGUCUCAGUUCGGAUCGGGGUCUGCAACUCGGCCCCGUGAAGCUGGAGUCGCUAGUAAUCGCGGAUCAGCAACGCCGCGGUGAAUACGUUCCCGGGCCUUGUA